UACAGAGGGUGCGAGCGUUAAUCGGAUUUACUGGGCGUAAAGCGUGCGUAGGCGGUAUUUUAAGUCGGAUGUGAAAUCCCUGAGCUUAACUUGGGAAUUGCAUUCGAUACUGGGAAGCUAGAGUAUGAGAGAGGAUGGUGGAUUUCCAGGUGUAGCGGUGAGAUGCGUAGAGAUCUGGAGGAAUACCGAUGGCGAAGGCAGCCAUCUGACCUAAUACAGACGCUGAGGUACGAAAGCAUGGGGAGCAAACAGG
rnacentral:misc_RNA from 1 species